GCGUACACGGUGGAUGCCCUGGCAGUCAGAGGCGAUGAAGGGCGUGCUAAUCUGCGAUAAGCGCCGGUAAGGUGAUAUGAACCGUUAUAACCGGCGAUACCCGAAUGGGGAAACCCAGUGUGACUCGUCACACUAUCAUUAACUGAAUCCAUAGGUUAAUGAGGCGAACCGGGGGAACUGAAACAUCUAAGUACCCCGAGGAAAAGAAAUCAACCGAGAUUCCCCCAGUAGCGGCGAGCGAACGGGGAGGAGCCCAGAGCCUGAAUCAGCAUGUGUGUUAGUGGAAGCGUCUGGAAAGGCGCGCGAUACAGGGUGACAGCCCCGUACACAAAAGCGCAUGUGCUGUGAGCUCGAUGAGUAGGGCGGGACACGUGGUAUCCUGUCUGAAUAUGGGGGGACCAUCCUCCAAGGCUAAAUACUCCUGACUGACCGAUAGUGAACCAGUACCGUGAGGGAAAGGCGAAAAGAACCCCGGCGAGGGGAGUGAAAAAGAACCUGAAACCGUGUACGUACAAGCAGUGGGAGCACCCUUUGGGUGUGACUGCGUACCUUUUGUAUAAUGGGUCAGCGACUUAUAUUCUGUAGCAAGGUUAACCGAAUAGGGGAGCCGGAGGGAAACCGAGUCUUAAUUGGGCGUUAAGUUGCAGGGUAUAGACCCGAAACCCGGUGAUCUAGCCAUGGGCAGGUUGAAGGUUGGGUAACACUAACUGGAGGACCGAACCGACUAAUGUUGAAAAAUUAGCGGAUGACCUGUGGCUGGGGGUGAAAGGCCAAUCAAACCGGGAGAUAGCUGGUUCUCCCCGAAAGCUAUUUAGGUAGCGCCUCGUGAAUUCAUCUCCGGGGGUAGAGCACUGUUUCGGCUAGGGGGCCAUCCCGGCUUACCAACCCGAUGCAAACUGCGAAUACCGGAGAAUGUUAUCACGGGAGACACACGGCGGGUGCUAACGUCCGUCGUGAAGAGGGAAACAACCCAGACCGCCAGCUAAGGUCCCAAAGUCAUGGUUAAGUGGGAAACGAUGUGGGAAGGCCCAGACAGCCAGGAUGUUGGCUUAGAAGCAGCCAUCAUUUAAAGAAAGCGUAAUAGCUCACUGGUCGAGUCGGCCUGCGCGGAAGAUGUAACGGGGCUAAACCAUGCACCGAAGCUGCGGCAGCGACGCUUAUGCGUUGUUGGGUAGGGGAGCGUUCUGUAAGCCUGCGAAGGUGGCCUGUGAGGGUUGCUGGAGGUAUCAGAAGUGCGAAUGCUGACAUAAGUAACGAUAAAGCGGGUGAAAAGCCCGCUCGCCGGAAGACCAAGGGUUCCUGUCCAACGUUAAUCGGGGCAGGGUGAGUCGACCCCUAAGGCGAGGCCGAAAGGCGUAGUCGAUGGGAAACGGGUUAAUAUUCCCGUACUUGGUGUUACUGCGAAGGGGGGACGGAGAAGGCUAUGUUGGCCGGGCGACGGUUGUCCCGGUUUAAGCGUGUAGGUGUGUGUUCCAGGUAAAUCCGGUUCACUUUAACACUGAGGCGUGAUGACGAGGCACUACGGUGCUGAAGUAACAAAUGCCCUGCUUCCAGGAAAAGCCUCUAAGCAUCAGGUAACAUCAAAUCGUACCCCAAACCGACACAGGUGGUCAGGUAGAGAAUACCAAGGCGCUUGAGAGAACUCGGGUGAAGGAACUAGGCAAAAUGGUGCCGUAACUUCGGGAGAAGGCACGCUGACACGUAGGUGAAGUGAUUUACUCACGGAGCUGAAGUCAGUCGAAGAUACCAGCUGGCUGCAACUGUUUAUUAAAAACACAGCACUGUGCAAACACGAAAGUGGACGUAUACGGUGUGACGCCUGCCCGGUGCCGGAAGGUUAAUUGAUGGGGUCAGCGCAAGCGAAGCUCCUGAUCGAAGCCCCGGUAAACGGCGGCCGUAACUAUAACGGUCCUAAGGUAGCGAAAUUCCUUGUCGGGUAAGUUCCGACCUGCACGAAUGGCGUAAUGAUGGCCAGGCUGUCUCCACCCGAGACUCAGUGAAAUUGAACUCGCUGUGAAGAUGCAGUGUACCCGCGGCAAGACGGAAAGACCCCGUGAACCUUUACUAUAGCUUGACACUGAACAUUGAGCCUUGAUGUGUAG
rnacentral:rRNA from 1 species